UACGUAUGGUGCAAGCGUUAUCCGGAUUUACUGGGUGUAAAGGGAGCGUAGACGGCAAGGCAAGUCUGAUGUGAAAACCCAGGGCUUAACCCUGGGACUGCAUUGGAAACUGUCUGGCUCGAGUGCCGGAGAGGUAAGCGGAAUUCCUAGUGUAGCGGUGAAAUGCGUAGAUAUUAGGAAGAACACCAGUGGCGAAGGCGGCUUACUGGACGGUAACUGACGUUGAGGCUCGAAAGCGUGGGGAGCAAACAGG
rnacentral:rRNA from 1 species